UGCCCGGAGCAGGGGGAUAAGCGGAAGAAAUUCCGUCUAAUACCGCGUAAUGAGGCGGGGAGGCAUCUCCCCGCUUCCAAAGAUUUAUCGGCUCCGGAUGGUCAUGCGGCGCAUUAGCUGGUUGGCGGGGUAACGGCCCACCAAGGCGACGAUGCGUAGGGGUUCUGAGAGGAAGGCCCCCCACACUGGUACUGAGACACGGACCAGACUCCUACGGGAGGCAGCAGUGAGGAAUAUUGGUCAAUGGCCGGGAGGCUGAACCAGCCAAGUCGCGUGAGGGAUGACGGCCCUACGGGUUGUAAACCUCUUUUGCCGGGGAGCAAGAACCGCCUCGCGCAGGCGGACUGAGAGUACCCGGAGAAAAAGCAUCGGCUAACUCCGUGCCAGCAGCCGCGGUAAUACGGAGGAUGCGAGCGUUAUCCGGAUUCAUUGGGUUUAAAGGGUGCGCAGGCGGGCGGUCAAGUCAGCGGUAAAAUCGUGGGGCCCAACCCCAUCCCGCCGUUGAAACUGGCCGUCUUGAGUGGGCGAGAAGUAUGCGGAAUGCGUGGUGUAGCGGUGAAAUGCAUAGAUAUCACGCAGAACUCCGAUUGCGAAGGCAGCAUACCGGCGCCCGACUGACGCUCAUGCACGAAAGCGUGGGUAUCGAACAGGAUUAGAUACCCUGGUAGUCCACGCAGUAAACGAUGAAUACUAAUUGUCCGGGGCGAAUGAGCCCUGGGUGAUACAGCGAAAGCGUUAAGU
rnacentral:rRNA from 1 species